AACUGAUACUACCUGCGGGAACCUGCGGAAGGAUCAUUACAUGGCGGAGGAGGUGGGCACCUAGUAAAACAAAACCCUAGGUGUGUUGCCUACCACGCUUUCUACCCUUGUCUAUUUGCACCUUUUGUCGUUCCCUCGGUGGGUCUUGAACCUGCCGGCGGCAACUUUCAAAAACCUUUUGUAGUUAGUAUCUAAUUCUUCUGAUCAAAUAUUCAAUCGUUACAACUUUCAACAACGGAU
rnacentral:misc_RNA from 1 species